GAGCAACGUUGCUGUCAAUAGAAAUUGGCCUUGCCGUAUCACAGAGCUCUGAAGAAGGAGCUGCUUGUUUCUGCUACUGAAAAUGACUUGGUCUGUCAGCGAAGGAGUAGGAGAGCUGAGCAUUCUGCCGCGCUAGGGCCUCCUGGAGGUCAUGCCAUCCCUCUCUGCGCCCCCGGCCCCGGUGAUCACACCCACACCACCACACACACCCAGCUUGAGCCCAGAGACAGGAGCCUCUCCCAAAGGACAGAGAGGCCACCGCCCAAGGCGGAAUACAGUAUGGGAUGUAUAUCUGUGAUUAGCUUCUUUAAACAAACACGGAAGAACAAACAAGGGCUGUCCUUCGGAACAGUCACCUUAGGAGGAAAUACGCUUAUCCCAUCUGUACCUCUCUUGAUUAAACCAUUUCUGCAAAGACUCCUUUAAAGUGGACUUUCUAGCCAUUUUACAAAAUACUCAAGACAACCAAGAUUAGCUACGAAUCGUUUUUUGACUGAUUCCAGAGAAGCAAAUGAUAAAGAUCUGUCACCAAUAAGGACAUUUAAAGACUGAGUCACAUACCCUGAAGACAAUUCCCAAAGAAGAGUUACAGAACUUGUGUCAUUGUGGCCUUGUUGGAAGAAGGGGGUCGCCCCAACGUGACUACUUGGAGGCGGCGGUGUUUUCAGUUGCAUUUCUCUCUGGCCACAUCUGGAGUGUAUUAUUUAUCAUUCCUGAUGAUCAUUCUUUUGUUCAUCUGGUUGUCAUUUUUCAUCCUAAACAGUGAACUAAGAAGGAGAAAAAGGGAAGGAAACAAAUUCCUGACCCCCAUCUGGGUCAGGAUCUCAUUUCAGAUUUCAGCAAAUUCCCAUGCACAAGUGUCACCAGGGUGGCUAGGCCUUUCUGCUUCCAAGAACCCCGAACCUAGAGACCGGAAUGUCAGCACUGAUUCUGGUUCACCUCAUGGUAACUGCAGACCUACUAAGUGCCACUGGGUCUU